UGUUUUUUGUUUUUGUUUUUUUGUCCAUGGGGAUACAACUUAGACUGUAGAUUUCACUCAUUUUGCUCCGCAUGUAGUUUAUAGUGAAAUCUCUAAAAGGCCUUAUUACAUUUAGGAACGAAGAGAGUAGCAUGAAAAAGCGGCCCAAAGACGUGAUUCCUUGUGUGAUCGAUUCUGUUCUGCAUAAAACUAGUAUCUCUCGACGACACAACAUUCAUCUACCUGUUUACAUCCAUCUACCAAACAAGAGGAAAAACAUGCCUUGCAAACACAGCUGUCACUUAUUUGCAUGCAUACAAACAUUCAGGGCAUCUUUGAUUCGCAGGAUUUGUAAAAUAUGAGAAUAGAGAAAAACACAGAAAUGGAGUUGCAUGACAUCUUCAAUACGUAGGAUUCUUCACAUGAGGUUGAGGUGGAUGGAAAUUUCCCUUCAAAAACCAGCACUCCCUCCUUCCAUCUAUAUAGGGCCUAAUGCGUUUGUCAAGACCGCCUUUGACUAUUGAUAAAAUUAAUACUACAUGACAUGCAUAAUGUGAAAAUUAUAUCAUUGAAAGCUCCUUUCACAUACGAAUAUAUGCAGUGCUAUUUUUGCCACUAUUAAAGAAUGUAUGCAAAUAACAGAAAUAACAGAAUGGCACAUGGCUGAAUAACAGUGGCAGAUACAAUGACAGACAGACAAGCAAGCAAGAGCUAACAACACUGGUAGUUCAAAUAUGCAUCCAUCCAUGAUGAAGUUCUAUUGUCAGUUUGGUUUUAAGUACAAAAACCGCUACUACAUCUCAAAAGCUGAGAAAAAGUUUGUCAAAAACAGCAGUAACUCGACGACGACGCUGGCCUCACCCGUUUCGCUCGCCUGGCUAAGGGACAAUAAUAAUACACUCUUUUCACUAGCAUACAUGGCCUCCUAUGAACAACAGAAAGAUCAAACUUAUGUCAUCUGACCCCACCCUCCCAAAAUGUUGACUCGCUGGGAUCAAAAUGCCGACUAAUUGGCUCGGUAUGUUUAUUCUUUCUGUAAGAACACCUUUUCUACAUGACAAUUGGUGGAGAUCAAGGGACCAAAAUGUUGCCGAAGCUGUCAUCACCCCACCUGCAGUAUAUUAUCAAUCGUCGCUGUGCACCGACCUCACGGAAUGUUUGCCUCCAUGCCAUCGUUUGAGGCUCUGCUGGGCACCAGACUUCUUUGACAAUCCACCUCAAUGUCAUCAUCUGAGCUGCUGCUGCUGUUUCUGCUGCUAUAUGACAUGACAACCCAUAC
rnacentral:lncRNA from 1 species